CCGACUGAAGGGUUUAAUGAAAGCACAGAAGUUGCUGCUUGACUCAGUCCCCUUGUGUACAAAAGAUACACCUGGGUACAGUCCUGUCCUCGGCAGCUUCUGGGAAAAGAUGGGGAGGGACACAGUCACCAGGUGACGGGGCUCUGUAAAUGGCUGCAGAGGAAGACUGCUCAGGAAGUUGCUUCUUGGGAUAACAAUGAUCAGGCCAGUGAGGUACUGAGUCUUCCCGCUCCCCAGGCCUGGCUGACCCCUGCCUCCACAGUCAGCAGCUCCUUCCUUCCCUUCAAGGACUGACCCUCCACAGUAGUUCCACCAGUGAAAUCAGGCUGCAGGUGGUGGGUGAGACCUGGGGGCUGGUGGCAGGGUGUUAUUUGUCUGCCAUUAGACAAAAAAAUAAAUAUAUUCUUUGAGAAUUUCA
rnacentral:lncRNA from 1 species